GUGUUGCAUUAACUAGCACGAGCCGGAACUCGGUCAAUAUCGAUUCAGUUCGUUUAGGUUUUGAGUCGUAAACUGUAUCUCCCAGCUAAACUAUCAUCCGAGCUUCCACUCAUCGUGGCCAUUGAUUUACAACCCAUUGCUCCGAUUGAAGGUGUCAUCCAAGUAUAAGGAGACAUAACUAAUGCUAGAACAGCUGAAGUGGUCGUUAGGCAUUUUGAUGGAUGCAAGGCUGGUAUAUAAUUGGCGUCAUUAAUGUUGCAGGUCACUAUAUCUAAAGAUGACACAGUUGUUCUUGAUGGUGUUGGACUGCUGGUGAUAAGAAGUUUAGAGAAGAACGACGUUACUGUAGGCUAUAUAAUUUGUAUGUCUUCAUUUAAUUUUGGUGAAAUUUAGUUCACUGAAGUUCGGUUUUUUGCUGUUGAGAACUAAGAACUGAUGUUUAGAUAAGUAGUGCGGAUAAAUAAUUAAAUAAUAUAUAUAGUUUGUUAA